GAUGAACGCUGGCGGCGUGCCUAAUACAUGCAAGAAGAACGCUGAAGCUUGGUGCUUGCACCGAGCGGAUGAGUUGCGAACGGGUGAGUAACGCGUAGGUAACCUGCCUCUUAGCGGGGGAUAACUAUUGGAAACGAUAGCUAAUACCGCAUAAAAGUCGAUAUCGCAUGAUAUUGAUUUGAAAGGUGCAAAUGCAUCACUAAGAGAUGGACCUGCGUUGUAUUAGCUAGUUGGUGAGGUAACGGCUCACCAAGGCGACGAUACAUAGCCGACCUGAGAGGGUGAUCGGCCACACUGGGACUGAGACACGGCCCAGACUCCUACGGGAGGCAGCAGUAGGGAAUCUUCGGCAAUGGGGGCAACCCUGACCGAGCAACGCCGCGUGAGUGAAGAAGGUUUUCGGAUCGUAAAGCUCUGUUGUAAGAGAAGAACGAGUGUGAGAGUGGAAAGUUCACACUGUGACGGUAACUUACCAGAAAGAGACGGCUAACUACGUG
rnacentral:rRNA from 1 species